ensembl:lncRNA
CUGACAUCACGCGGGGCCGGGAGCACCUGCGCCCCGCCCGGCUCCGCCACCGGCACCGGCACCGCAGCGCACCGGGCCGGGCGGGCACCGGGGCUGGUGCGGGCCGCCCCCGCCGCCCCCCCAGAAAUGGAAACAAACAACCAUUUUAACUUCACUGGCCUUUCCUCUGCACCCGCUGCCUCAGGACCGAAACCCACGCCUGCCUCAGGGGACUCCCCCUUCACCCACAGCUCCCCGCUCAGCUUCCCCCCACAAGGGAAAAGUAAGUGACCCCACGGGGACAGGGAUGGCGAGGCCGCAGGGAUGGGGUGGCCGUGGGGCCGGAGGGGACACAGGGAUGGGAGAGGACACAGGGAUGAGAGGGGACACAGGGAUGGGAGAGGACACAGGGAUGGGAGGGCUGCAGGGAUGGGGUGGCCGUGGGGCCGGAGGGGACACAGGGAUGGGAGAGGACACAGGGAUGGGAAGAGGAUACAGGAAUGGCAGGGCUGCAGGGAUGAAGGGCCCACAGGGAUGAAGGGGCCGUGGCGGGCAGCAGCUCCAGCGCGGGGGUCUGGGGUCUGCGCGUCCCUGCCGCCGCCUUGGCCUAGAAAAGCAGCCGUGCCGGCACAGGGGCCGCGCGUGGAUUUGGCCGGUCAGCUGAUCCGGCACGGCCCUGCCAAGCGCUGGCUAAUCCCCGGCGUCCUGCGGAGCCCGUGGCGGAGCCGGUUUGGCAAACGGGGGCCGUGCGACUCCCCCACCCCUCCUGCUUCUACCCAGGCACGGGAGGGGGGCACGAGCAGGGCUUCGGCAGCUGCCGGCCCGGUCAUUGAUCCAUCCUCAAUGACCUCGCCGUCCCUCUGCUCCCUCGCAGGUCUGAACGGGGGCAUGAAUGUCAAUGGCUUCUCUACUGUAUCACACCCCGGUACUUCAGGGACGUUCUCGCCCGGCUCCGCGCCCGCCGGGGCCCAGCCCCUCCGCGCCUACGACUGCCUGUGGGACUACGCGCCCUACGCGCCCGCCGGCGGCCUCAAGGACGGGGGUCCGCCCGCCCUUGGACAGUUCCCCCUCAACGGCGUGGCCGGAGGGUCGCGGCCGGCGUCGCCGGGGCACGGCACCAACCUGCGGGCGGCCGGGCAGGAGUUCUGGGGCAACGGCACCGCCGGGCCCAUGGGGCUGAACUUCGACUCGCAGGAGCUCUACGACUCCUUCCACGACCAGAGCUUCGAGCUGAUGCAGAACGGGCCCGACGGCUUCUACGCGGCGGGUCAGUCCUCGCCCAUCCUGAGCUCGGACGCGCAGCCCUUCCCGCUGGCUCCGGACGAGCCGGACCCCGGCCAGGGAGACGCUGCCGGCGCAGCCAAAGAGAUGCCCACCACCACCACCAGCACCACCACCAUCGCGGAGAACGGGGGUGGGCUGGUGGGCAGCCAGGAGCUGGAGGAGGCACAGCCAGACCUGAAGAUCUGCAGCUACAACGGGGCUGCAGCCGCUGGCGCGGGGUCGCUGGGGCCGGAGGGGACCGUGCUGGCACCCAGGGACAGCGGGUGCCUCGGGGACGCGUCGCCCAUCGCCCCGCGGCUGGAGGACACCCACAUCCUCAGCGAGGACCCCCUGGAGCCCUUCGAGUCCCUGGCCAGAGACCCCGGCACCGGCGACCUGUACGCGAUGGACGACUCGCAGCUGGUGAGCGACAAGUCCUCCCUGGAGGAGCCCCCCGACCUGGCCGCCAGCCCCCCACUGCACGCCGGCCCCUUCAGCCUGCUGCCCGCCAGCCCCUCGCCCGCCCCGCUGCUCGGUGGCCCCGGCUCGCCGCCC